AGGAGGAACAACCCCAGUGGCUGGGGCAGCUCUGGAAACCUGGAUUCAGCCCCUGCAGUAACUCCGGGGCUCUCCGUCUGCAGGGCCUGGAGGCUCCGGGUGGGG
rfam:Canis lupus familiaris chromosome 10, whole genome shotgun sequence.